UACAGAGGGCUCAAGCGUUGUUCGGAUUCACUGGGCGUAAAGGGUGCGUAGGCGGCGAGGUAAGUCGGAUGUGAAAUCCCGGGGCUCAACCCCGGAACUGCAUUCGAUACUGCUUUGCUAGAGUACUGGAGAGGAGACUGGAAUUUACGGUGUAGCAGUGAAAUGCGUAGAUAUCGUAAGGAAGACCAGUGGCGAAGGCGAGUCUCUGGACAGUUACUGACGCUGAGGCACGAAGGCCAGGGGAGCAAACGGG
rnacentral:rRNA from 1 species